CUUCCCAGGCAUCUUGUGAUGUUUUACAGGCGAGGAAGCUGAGGCUCCAAGAGGCAAAGCCACCUGUGUGGGUCACAGAGCUGCUUUCCAACUCCAAUCUGUAGCCACAUCUCCAGGAAAGCAGGACUUUCCAGGGACAGUUCGUCAAGGCAAUGAAAUUUCAGGACACGUUUUUGGAUAGGUUCCAAAUGGUCCUGAGUAGGAGUCAUAGCUCUCCUGAAGAUGGAAGAUGCCAGCCAAACCUCUGUCCGUCUUGGAACCUCUGCCCAUCCUGUAAAAUGGGAUGAUCAGUCAUUGAGGUAAUGUGUGUGGCAUGCCCUGUAAACUUACUUGGUGCAUGGGAGGUCCUC
rnacentral:lncRNA from 1 species